rnacentral:rRNA from 1 species
UGCUUGCACUAAAUGAAACUAGAUACAAGCGAGCGGCGGACGGGUGAGUAACACGUGGGUAACCUGCCCAAGAGACUGGGAUAACACCUGGAAACAGAUGCUAAUACCGGAUAACAACACUAGACGCAUGUCUAGAGUUUGAAAGAUGGUUCUGCUAUCACUCUUGGAUGGACCUGCGGUGCAUUAGCUAGUUGGUAAGGUAACGGCUUACCAAGGCAAUGAUGCAUAGCCGAGUUGAGAGACUGAUCGGCCACAUUGGGACUGAGACACGGCCCAAACUCCUACGGGAGGCAGCAGUAGGGAAUCUUCCACAAUGGACGAAAGUCUGAUGGAGCAACGCCGCGUGAGUGAAGAAGGGUUUCGGCUCGUAAAGCUCUGUUGGUAGUGAAGAAAGAUAGAGGUAGUAACUGGCCUUUAUUUGACGGUAAUUACUUAGAAAGUCACGGCUAACUACGUGCCAGCAGCCGCGGUAAUACGUAGGUGGCAAGCGUUGUCCGGAUUUAUUGGGCGUAAAGCGAGUGCAGGCGGUUCAAUAAGUCUGAUGUGAAAGCCUUCGGCUCAACCGGAGAAUUGCAUCAGAAACUGUUGAACUUGAGUGCAGAAGAGGAGAGUGGAACUCCAUGUGUAGCGGUGGAAUGCGUAGAUAUAUGGAAGAACACCAGUGGCGAAGGCGGCUCUCUGGUCUGCAACUGACGCUGAGGCUCGAAAGCAUGGGUAGCGAACAGGAUUAGAUACCCUGGUAGUCCAUGCCGUAAACGAUGAGUGCUAAGUGUUGGGAGGUUUCCGCCCUCUCAGUGCUGCAGCUAACGCAUUAAGCACUCCCGCCCUGGGGGAGUACGACCGCAAGGUUG